GCUACAUAAAACAACACUUACUGAUGCAGAGGUGGCCUUGAAGAGCUCACCCAAGUGCUGCUCCUUGUGCCUGACACAUAUGCAGAAGCACACACAUGUGCAGAGGCACUCACACAGGCAGAGGUGUGCUGAUGUCUGAAGCCCAUAGAGCCCAACAGUGGCCCCAGGCUGGACCCAGUACCCAACUGUCACCCAUUCCCACUGCCAUCCCAACUUUGCUGUGGUUGGUUGCACCAGAAUACUUUCUUUCUGCCAAUACCACUCCACAGCUGGCCCCACCGUCCUGACAGCCUCUUGUCUCCCUCUCCUUUGUCAUCUGCAUUAUUUCAGUAUUUUAACCCCGUUUUUCGCCUACUCUGCUUCACUGGUGCUUGUCCAACAUCUGCUCAGAGACGCCUGGUGAGAAGAUGCCCUGCAAAUCGCCUUGUGGUUUGCAGACUGAAUUCCCUAAUGAUGCUCUCAUUAAUAGUUCUUGCUGCCAAAUGCUGUUUGCUUUUACUUUCAGAACUGUCUGCAUUAAUAACAAGUACCUCCACUUGGAAAUUAUUUACAUGAAACAUUGUUCUCACAUCACUGCCACUGACAGCGGCUCCGGACUGGGUGAGAGAAGGACACCGUGAUGAAUUCACCCAUGUGCUGCAUGAGACAAGGAGAGCUCGAGGAUUUCAGAGCAAGGACAAUCCCAGUGUCUCGGGCUCUGAAAAAAGAGUGAAACAGUGACUGGAAAUGAAAAAGGAUUCUGCAGCCUUGGUGACUGAAUGAGAGAUGUUCGUGUUAAAGGCACCGAAGGUGGACUCAGCAAGGCUGAUCACGGGUGCAGUGAAAGCAGUGCCUGACCACAGUAACACCUCCAUCAGGUGCAGAGCUCAAGGGAGAACUCCCAGGAACAGGUAAGUUUAAAAAAAAAGA